rnacentral:rRNA from 1 species
AUUGAACGCUGGCGGCAGGCCUAACACAUGCAAGUCGAGCGGAUGAAGGGAGCUUGCUCCUGGAUUCAGCGGCGGACGGGUGAGUAAUGCCUAGGAAUCUGCCUGGUAGUGGGGGAUAACGUCCGGAAACGGGCGCUAAUACCGCAUACGUCCUGAGGGAGAAAGUGGGGGAUCUUCGGACCUCACGCUAUCAUAUGAGCCUAGGUCGGAUUAGCUAGUUGGUUGGGUAAAGGCCUACCAAAGCGACGAUCCGUAACUGGUCUGAGAGGAUGAUCAGUCACACUGGAACUGAGACACGGUCCAGACUCCUACGGGAGGCAGCAGUGGGGAAUAGUGGACAAUGGGAGAAAGCCUGAUCCAGCAAUGCCGAGUGUGUGAAGAAGGUCUUCGGAUGGUAAAGCACUUUAAGUUGGGAGGAAGGGAAGUAAGUUAAUACCUUGCUGUUUUGACGGUAACAACAGAAUAAGCACCGGCUAACUUCGUG